rnacentral:rRNA from 1 species
CCCAAUUAUCGGGGUGGGACAUGACAUGCGAGUCGAGCGUCUCUAGCUAUGUUGAGACGCGGCAUACGGCUCAGUAACACUUGGCUAACCUACCCUCAGGACGGGGACAAACCCGGGAAACUGGGGCUAAUAUCCGAUAGGCGAGGAUUCCUGGAAUGGUUCUUCACCCAAAGGACAUUGGAAACAUGCUUUCUCUGUCGCCUGGGGAUGGGGCCGCGUCCGAUCAGGUUGUUGGUGAGGUAAUGACUCACCAAGCCUUUAACCGGUACGGGCCGUGAGAGCGGUAGCCCGGAGAUGGGUACUGAGAUAAGGACCCAGGCCCUACGGGGCGCAGCAGUCGCGAAAACUCCGCAAUGCACGAAAGUGUGACGGGGCUACCCCGAGUGCCGUCCGCUGAGGAUGGCUUUUCCUUGGUGUAACUAGCCGGGGGAAUAAGGAGAGGGCAAGACUGGUGUCAGCCGCCGCGGUAAUACCAGCUCUCCGAGUGGUAGGGAUGAUUAUUGGGCUUAAAGCGUCCGUAGCCGGCUUAGCAAGUUUCCUGUUAAAUUCAGCGACCUAAUCGUUGAGCCGCGGGAAAUACUACUAGGCUAGGAGGCGGGAGAGGUCGACGGUACUUCUGGGGUAGGGGUGAAAUCCUAUAAUCCCGGGAGGACCACCAGUGGCGAAGGCUGUCGACUAGAACGCGCUCGACGGUGAGGGACGAGAGCUGGGGGAGCGAACCGGAUUAGAUACCCGGGCAGUCCCAGCUGUAAACGAUGCGGGCUAGGUGUUGGGGUGGCUACGUGCCACUUCAGUGCCGCAGGGAAGCCAUUAAGCCCGCCGCCUGGGGAGUACGGCCGCAAGGCUGAAACUCAAAGGAAUUGACG